rnacentral:lncRNA from 1 species
ACGACGAACUAUUCACUUAGGUCAGCCCACGAAUGAACAAAUCCUGCGGGGAGCUUCAUGAGCCACGACCAUGCCGACCCAUGGAGGGCUACAUGGAAGUAGUUGGCCAUGACCUUCGGUCCCCCACCAAUGGCCUGAAUGGCCGUCGUGUAGAUUUGGAGGAACUCCUCUAGAUCGAUGGUGCCAUCGUAUUUCUCCA